UCCCUGGUGGCUCAGAGGUUAAAGCGUCUGCCUCCAAUGCAGGAGACCCGGGUUUGAUCCCUGGGUCGGGAA
rfam:Ovis aries breed Texel chromosome 11, whole genome shotgun sequence.